rnacentral:rRNA from 1 species
AUGGGUUUCAUGAAUCACCAUAUCCAGAGAUUCGUCGACACAGAUUGUUGCCAGUCGAAGAAGGAUUGGCCGGUGCUGCCGGCUGGCGUCAAGUUCAAUCCAACGGAUCAGGAGCUGAUCGAGCACCUUGAGGCCAAAGUGAGUGCUGACAGCGCGAGAUUUCAGUCUCUCAUCGAUUUGUUUAUACCAACCAUCGACAGCAAGCACAGCAUAUGCUACACCCAACCUGAGAAACUUCCAGGUAUCACACUGAGUGGCCUAAGGAAGCAAUUUUUCCAGCGCAAUUCCAGGGCGUUUAAAAGGGGCAUGUGGACGCGUCGCGAGAUAUAG